GACGAACGCUGGCGGCAUGCCUAAUACAUGCAAGUCGAGCGAACAGAUGAAGUGCUUGCACUUCUGACGUUAGCGGCGAACGGGUGAGUAACACGUAAGGAAUCUACCUAUAAGCGGGGGAUAACAUUCGGAAACGGGUGCUAAUACCGCAUAAUAUCUUCUUCCGCAUGGAAGAAGAUUGAAAGACGGCUCUGCUGUCACUUAUAGAUGACCUUGCGGUGCAUUAGUUAGUUGGUGGGGUAAUGGCCUAUCAAGACGAUGAUGCAUAGCCGACCUGAGAGGGUGAUCGGCCACAUUGGGACUGAGACACGGCCCAAACUCCUACGGGAGGCAGCAGAAGGGAAUCUUCCGCAAUGGGCGAAAGCCUGACGGAGCAAUGCCGCGUGAGUGAAGAAGGCCUUCGGGUCGUAAAACUCUGUUAUAAGAGAAGAACAAAUUGUAGAGUAACUGCUACAGUCUUGACGGUAUCUUAUCAGAAAGCCACGGCUAACUACGUGCCAGCCGCCGCGGUAA
rnacentral:rRNA from 1 species